ACGAACGCUGGCGGCAUGCCUAAUACAUGCAAGUCGAACGCUGAAGCACUCUGCUUGCAGAGUGCGGAUGAGUGGCGAACGGGUGAGUAACACGUGGGAAAUCUGCCUAGGAGUGGGGGAUAACAGUUGGAAACGACUGCUAAUACCGCAUAAGCGCACAGUAUUGCAUGAUACAGUGUGAAAAACUCCGGUGGUAUGAGAUGGACCCGCGUCUGAUUAGCUAGUUGGUGGGGCAACGGCCUACCAAGGCGACGAUCAGUAGCCGACCUGAGAGGGUGACCGGCCACAUUGGGACUGAGACACGGCCCAAACUCCUACGGGAGGCAGCAGUAGGGAAUCUUCCACAAUGGGUGAAAACCUGAUGGAGCAAUGCCGCGUGAAUGAAGAAGGUCUUCGGAUCGUAAAGUUCUGUUAUUAGAGAAGAACAAGUCAAGGAGUAACUGUCUUGACUUUGACGGUACCUAACCAGAAAGUCACGGCUAACUACGUG
rnacentral:rRNA from 1 species